AACGAACGCUGGCGGCAUGCCUAACACAUGCAAGUCGAACGAGACCUUCGGGUCUAGUGGCGCACGGGUGCGUAACGCGGGGGAACCUGCCCUUAGGUUCGGAAUAACUCCCCGAAAGGGGUGCUAAUACCGGAUAAUGUCUUCGGACCAAAGAUUUAUCGCCUUUGGAUGGGCCCGCGUUGGAUUAGCUAGUUGGUAGGGUAAAAGCCUACCAAGGCGACGAUCCAUAGCUGGUCUGAGAGGAUGCUCAGCCACACUGGGACUGAGACACGGCCCAGACUCCUACGGGAGGCAGCAGUGGGGAGUAUUGGACGAUGGGCGAAAGCCUGAUCCAGCAAUGCCGCGUGAGUGAUGAAGGCCUUAGGGUUGUAAAGCUCUUUUACCCGGGAUGAUAAUGACAGUACCGGGAGAAUAAGCGCCGGCUAACUACGUG
rnacentral:rRNA from 1 species